GCCCGGCUCACCCCCCGCCCCCCUCCAGGUCUCCAUCAACCCACACGUCCCAUUCCUUUUCCCUAUUUUUAAAUUUUCUUUUGCUGUCUGCUCUUUACUCAUUUUAGGGAUCUUGUUUAUCUGCUUUCCCUACUGGAACGUAAGUUCAGGAGGGGCAGGAGUGUUCCUGUGUCUUUAUUCUUUCUUUCGCGGCGACAUUUCCCAGUGCUUACGGGGCACACAGUAGGGGCUCCAACCACAGACGGGCGGUGGGCGAGGGAGUGAAUGAAUAAAACGUUGCGAAGCGGCGAGGGGAGGGGGAUGGGGGGGUGAUGAGAAAGCUGAGAAAUACGCAUGCUCGGAGUAUUCUGAGGCCGGUAAAAACCACCAUUGCGAAGGGCAAGCCAGGAGGGGGCGUCCUGAGCUCACGUGACUAUGCCCCGCCCCCAUGCCGGAACGUUGCUGUCGCGGAACCAGUGCUCCCGGGCCCCGGCGCGAGGGCACUUCCGGUGCCGCUCCUCUCCCACCCGCGCAGGGAACUGCCAAGUCAGUUCCGGCGGAGAACUCGGAGAGAAGAAGGACGCGGGUUGCUCCCCCGGGGCCCUCCGCUCCCUCCGGCCCAGGGCCGGCGGGUAAGCUGGGGGGCCCCCGGGACGGACUAUGGCCUCUACCCUGCAGACACCCGGGCCUCUCGCUGCCGACUGCUCCACCGCCCUGGCCUGGGCAUUGAAGCGGCGGCGAACCGCACCCGGCCCCACCUCGGCGAUCGCCGUGUCGCUGCGGGCCGACACCUCAGCUGGCCCGGCAGCGGCGGAGCCCCGCGGGACGCCGGCGGCGGAGCGGUGAGCGGCCGCGGACGGGGAGAAGGCGCCCGGAGAGGCCCGCCGCCCUUGGGAAGAUUUGCUGGCCGUUCGCAGAAGGCCUGUGUAUAUAAUAUGAAAAAGCUGCUCUCAACUUUCCCCUCGACCUUUUUUUUUUUUUUUAAAGAAAAAAAAAAAAAAACACUGCUUUGGCUGCGUCUAGGCGUUCUAGAUGUGAAGAGGUUGCCGACGUAUGAUACAGUAGAGUUAGAAAAAUCACGCGUCUUGUGAACGCCAUCUGUGCUUGGAACACGGAAGGAAAGAGAUGUCUUCUGGAAGUGACGGGGAGCCGGGAGGGCGCCGGCCACGGCCGCUCCCGGAGCGGAGGAGCGUGAGGAGAAAGAGAGGAGAGGAAGGUUCCGGCCAGACUGGUCAUGCUUAGAAGACGUCUUGUUCCAGCCAUUGUGUUGUGUGUGCGUUUCCUCACCGCUGUAUAUAGCUGACGAUGCCAAGUACUUUUCUGAAAUAUCUAGUCCUAACUAGAUGUGCUGAAGUGCCUGAUAGACGUUUAGAGUAGAAGUAGUAAAAUAACACGUUUUGUAAAUAAUCUUUUUGUUAAGAUGCAUAUGAGACGGUUCUUUGGGGGGUGGCCGGACUCCCUCCUGAGGGGUACGCUUGUGUUUGGGCUCUGGUGGGGGUGGAGAGGGAGGAGGAUGGGGGGACUCGGUGCGUGCGUGCUGCUAGCGGAGCCCCUCGGACCACUGUCCCCUGUGUGUGCGUGUUCCUCCCUCUGCUGUGUAUAUAGUGUAUAUAAAGGACGAGGAGUCCUAACUUACAACAUCUAGCCCUUCUAGAUGUUAAAAGAGGUUGCCAGUGUAUGACAAAAGUAGUUAGCUAACUAAUUUUGUACGUUUUAUAUUAUGAUUCCUCGGAAAGAUUGUCUUUGGAAAAUCGGAGCAUUCUAGCCCACUGAGAUGGUGGAGGAGGGACGGGUUCUGGGCCAGAAUGUUCACACUUCGAAGACACUUUCAAAUUCUAACUCCUGUUGUUUGUGUGCAGUUUAGCGCUGCUGUGUAUAUAGCGGACAGCUAAGUCCUUAUUUUGAAACGUCCAGUCUAAUCUGGAUGUUCAGAAGUGCCCGACGUAUGUUAAAUGUAGAAGUAGUGAAAUCACUCUGUAAAUAUCUUUUUUGGAGAAACUCAUGAAAUGCAUCUCCGGGGAAUGGAAUUGGCCACGUCUGUGAGCCGUGUACAAGCUGUGCUUGUCCAUGGUUUGGAGGAGGUGGGAGGCGAGGAACUGUAAAAGGUAAUAUGCUGGUGUGUUCCUACUUGGGAUGUUUUCAGCCAUUUUUCUGUAUGUUUUGUGCAUUUUGUUUUGCUGUGUGUAUAGUGUAUAUAAUGGACAAAUGAGUCCUAAUUUUGUAACAUCUAGUUUCUAGAUGUUAAAGAGGUUGCCAGUGUAUGACAAAGUAGUUAGUAAAAUUAGCAUAUUUUAUAUACUUUGUGUUGAAAUUCAUAGGGAAGCGUGUCCUCUGUAAAUGACUUUUGGAUGUCCGUGUGUGAAGCCAUCUCUAAGCAUUACACAUGCUUGUACUUGUCCACUGGAUGGAAGGCAGAGAGGAAAGUGAGGAGGGAAUGGUUCCAGACCAAAAGGGUCAUAUUUAGAAGAUACCUCAGAUCAUAACCAUUGUUACCUUUGUGCAAUUUUGUUUAACGGCGUUGUGUUCUUAGUGGGCAAGUCCUUACGCAAGAGUACUUCAGAAAGUUCAUGGAAAAUGAAAUUAAAAGAUGUUUAUUUUGGUGCAAAAAAAUUUGAAGCCCAUGUAGCUUCUUUUGUAAUAAAUAUUUCCCAUGAACUUUCUGAAGACCCUCG
ensembl:lncRNA